rnacentral:rRNA from 1 species
UACGUAGGGUCCGAGCGUUGUCCGGAAUUAUUGGGCGUAAAGGGCUCGUAGGCGGUUUGUCGCGUCGGGAGUGAAAACUCAGGGCUCAACCCUGAGCGUGCUUCCGAUACGGGCAGACUAGAGGUAUGCAGGGGAGAAUGGAAUUCCUGGUGUAGCGGUGGAAUGCGCAGAUAUCAGGAGGAACACCGGUGGCGAAGGCGGUUCUCUGGGCAUUACCUGACGCUGAGGAGCGAAAGCAUGGGGAGCGAACAGG